UACGGAGGGGGCUAGCGUUGUUCGGAAUUACUGGGCGUAAAGCGUACGUAGGCGGCUUCGUAAGUUAGAGGUGAAAGCCCGGGGCUCAACUCCGGAAUUGCCUUUAAGACUGCAUCGCUUUGAAUCAUGGAGAGGUGAGUGGAAUUCCGAGUGUAGAGGUGAAAUUCGUAGAUAUUCGGAAGAACACCAGUGGCGAAGGCGACUCACUGGACAUGUAUUGACGCUGAGGUACGAAAAGCGUGGGGGAGCAAAACAGGGAUU
rnacentral:rRNA from 1 species